rnacentral:rRNA from 1 species
GACGAACGCUGGCGGCGUGCUUAACACAUGCAAGUCGUACGGUAAGGCCCUUUCGGGGGUACACGAGUGGCGAACGGGUGAGUAACACGUGAGUAACCUGCCCACAACUUUGGGAUAACGCUAGGAAACUGGUGCUAAUACUGGAUAUGUGCUCCUGCUGCAUGGUGGGGGUUGGAAAGCUCCGGCGGUUGUGGAUGUACUCGCGGCCUAUCAGCUUGUUGGUGGGGUAGUGGCCUACCAAGGCGGCGACGGGUAGCCGGCCUGAGAGGGUGACCGGCCACAUUGGGACUGAGAUACGGCCCAGACUCCUACGGGAGGAAGAAGUGGGGAAUAUUGAACAAUGGGCGCAAGCCUGAUGCAGCAACGCCGCGUGCGGGAUGACGGCCUUCGGGUUGUAAACCGAUUUCAGCAGGGACGAGGCUUUUUGUGACGGUACCUGCAGAAGAAGCACCGGCUAACUACGUG